rfam:Xanthomonadaceae bacterium 3.5X genomic scaffold scaffold1, whole genome shotgun sequence.
GGAGUCGGCCGGACAGUCGCGUCGCACCUUGUGUGCGUCGAGGAAAGUCCGGGCUCCGCAGGGCAGGGUGCCAGGUAACGCCUGGGCAGCGCGAGCUGACGGCCAGUGCAACAGAGAGCAGACCGCCGAUGGCCCCGCAAGGGGAUCAGGUAAGGGUGAAACGGUGCGGUAAGAGCGCACCGCGCGCGGGGACAACGCCGCGUGGCACGGUAAACCCCACCCGGAGCAAGACCGAAUAGGGGAACGAUAACGCGGCCCGCGUUGUUCCCGGGUAGGUUGCUGGAGCCUGGCGGUGACGCCAGGCCGAGAGGAAUGACUGUCGCGCCGCAAGGCGAACAGAACCCGGCUUACAGGCCGACUCCAUCU